CUGGGGAGUACGGCCGCAAGGUUAAAACUCAAAUGAAUUGACGGGGGCCCGCACAAGCGGUGGAGCAUGUGGUUUAAUUCGAUGCAACGCGAAGAACCUUACCUACUCUUGACAUCCAGAGAACUUAGCAGAGAUGGUUUGGUGCCUUCGGGAACUCUGAGACAGGUGCUGCAUGGCUGUCGUCAGCUCGUGUUGUGAAAUGUUGGGUUAAGUCCCGCAACGAGCGCAACCCUUAUCCUUUGUUGCCAGCGGUUCGGCCGGGAACUCAAAGGAGACUGCCAGUGAUAAACUGGAGGAAGGUGGGGAUGACGUCAAGUCAUCAUGGCCCUUACGAGUAGGGCUACACACGUGCUACAAUGGCGCAUACAAAGAGAAGCGACCUCGCGAGAGCAAGCGGACCUCAUAAAGUGCGUCGUAGUCCGGAUUGGAGUCUGCAACUCGACUCCAUGAAGUCGGAAUCGCUAGUAAUCGUAGAUCAGAAUGCUACGGUGAAUACGUUCCCGGGCCUUGUACACACCGCCCGUCACACCAUGGGAGUGGGUUGCAAAAGAAGUAGGUAGCUUAACCUUCGGGAGGGCGCUUACCACUUUGGAUUCCCUG
rnacentral:rRNA from 1 species